GGCUAUAAUCGUUGGCUAAAUUGGACCUGCAAGACGUUAUGUAAAAUUUGUUGAACCUGUAAGACAUUUCUCUUCAAUGGUAUUGGCUAUAUUGGUUGGCUAUAAUUUAAAAAUAGUAUGUUAUUAAUAUUUUAGAUUGUUAAAAUAGAAUAUAUCAGUUCAAUAUGGUAAUAAAUGAUGUGCAAUCUUCCUACAGAUUUCUUACAGACCUGUAGAGGUUCGACAAAUUUAGCCAUCCAUAGGAGGUUGGCUAAAUUUAUAGACAACAGGUCACUGUGGUUGGAGUCUGAAUUUUUGAAGUGGCUGGCUAAAUUUUUUAUUUUUGGCAUGACAACUCACCUUUUAGCUAAGGGGUCUUCAUGGUUGGAGAUGCUCU
rnacentral:lncRNA from 1 species